UCGCCCUCAGCUGGGCUGAUAUGACAUUCAGUUUCCAGGUUAGUUUCGCGGUUUCAGUAGCUUCCUUGUUCAGAUCGGUCACUCGUCCCGUUGGGUGCGAAUUCUUUUCUGCUGCAGCAAUGGUUCUCCAAAUUCAAGUUUCUUACUGAGGCUCCUGAGGGUACCGCAGUAGGUUUAACCACCUGAAGGAUGACCUCGAAGAGGAGUUUCCUGAUGAACUGGAAAUAACUGGAAAUGCUGUCAAAGGAACGACAGGCUGUUUUGAGGUUCAGAUAAAGGGCUCAGAAACGCUUCUGCAUUCUAAACUGCAUGGAGAUGGCUUUGUUGAUUCUGCAGAUAAGCUUUUGAAGAUUGUUAAUGGAAUCAAAGCAGCCCUUAAACAGUAACACGAUGUAGGGCUGUAAUUAGAUCAGUUAAACGUCCGUUUGCUUUGUCCCCCUCGGCUGCACACUUUAUGAUGGUGAUGGUUGAAACGUCUGCAAAAGGCGUGGCUGUUUCCUGAUGUCUACGUGGGAUGUUGCAGUGGCCAAAGUUAUCUGGGGUUUAACUUGUGAAUUUUCAGUCUUACAAGUGUUUUUUUUUUUGCUUUUCCCACCACCAGUUUAAGCACAGUGGUGCAUUAUUUUCCUUCCUGCAGUGCAAGAUAUAACACGAUCAAAAAUGUUUACUUUUGGAAUUAAAGGGCAUAGUUAUCCUUUUUUUUUGCAGCCUGAAGUACUUUUUUUUAUAAUGCUUGGCUAUGAUCAGGAAGUCCGAUCAGUGUGCUUGAUACAACCACUAGAACCCUGCAAACGUUUGUAAUCUAGCCCACCCAUAUGCUGCAGUUCUGAGUAAGUUUUAUCAACAGCCCACUUUGUAAACCUAGUUUGACAUUGCACUGUCAGCUCCUCACUGUAUGAUGUUACUGUCUCCAAAGGCAUCUCGUGCUUGUCUCUGGAGUCACUUAUGGGACUAAAAGGCGGAUUUGUAUUGCAACUGCUGAAUUGCUGUCUAAGUGGAAAAUACUUCACAACAAUGAAGUUGCAGUGCAAACACACCCAUCAAGUCCUGUUUACUGGCUCUGCAGUGAGAUGGCAUACGCAGAUACAAAACAAAGAGAAAGGUAAACCAACAAUAAAAAUACACUAUUUGGCUAAACAUCAGCGCCAUUGGGUUGGAAAUGAAUAUAUCCAAUACAUUACAGAACAAAUUUAGUGCAUGUUUUCACUUUGACCAUAGCUGAUGUUUCAUCUCAUUGACUGUCUGUGGGUGAAUUCUUUUCUGUCAUAGCCACUAGAUUAUAUUUCGGUUUACAAGUGAAACAGUUGCUCGGAGACCUGUACAGGAGCAACUGCCCAGUAUAUUGAGAUAAAAACAAAAAACUGCGGAUGCUGGAAAUCCAAAACAAAAACAGAAUUACCUGGAAAAACUCAGCAGGUCUGGCAGCAUCUUCUCCGCUGAUGCUGCCAGACCCGCUGAGUUUUUCCAGGUAAUUCUGUUUUUGCCCAGUAUAUUGUGUGGGCCAGAUUUGCAGGUUAUAAUUGAAGCAGGACAUUUCUGCCCCUUUUAAUGAAGACAGUAAAUGUAAUUUUAAUGAUUGACAGCGAGGCAUAACCUCCAUUGGCUGGUGGUUAGGCUUGUGAGAUCUUGCAGGGUUGAAGUUGCUUUUUAAUGUUGCUUGUGAUGUUUUUUGAAGAACUCUUCCAAAUUCUCUUCUUUUCUGGGUGGUUAAAGGAAUUGUAUUAUGCUGCUGAUCUGCAUAAUUAAAAAAAACAAUGUUUACAGAACAACUAGAGGGUACAUUUUUAUCAACUUCAAUUUUGAAUUGGAUCACAAUAAAAGCGUUGUUCACUUUG